rnacentral:lncRNA from 1 species
AUGAGAAGUCAGCACACGAAAGACCUAAAAGGUGCGUACUUCCAUAUCUCCAUCCUCCCUCAGCACAGGAAGUUCCUAAGGUUUUCUUUCGGGGGCAAAGAAUACCAGUAUCAGGUACUUCCCUUCGGUCUAGCUCUCUCACCCCGCACAUUCACGAAGUGUGUAGAUGCAGCUCUGGCCCCGCUCAGGCUGCAGGGCAUACGUAUUCUGAAUUACUUGGACGACUGGUUGAUUUUAGCCGAAUCAGAACAGUUGGUGGUUCGGCAUCGAGAUGUCGUCCUCGCUCAUAUGCAGAAGUUCGGUUUGAGGCUCAAUACCAAGAAGAGUGUGCUAUCUCCAUUACAAAGGACCACUUUUCUUGGGGUGGUAUGGGAUUCGGUCACGAUGCGAGCCGCUCUUUCGCCCGCUCGUAUAGCCAACAUCCUCACAGCCACAUCAGAGCUAAAGCUAGGCCAGUCACGCACUGUGAAACAGUUCGAGAGAUUGUUGGGUCUCAUGGCAGCAGCAUCCAAUGUGAUCCCCUUUGGCCUGCUGGGCAUGAGACCUUUACAGUGGUGGCUCAGGACCAGAGGGUUCUCCCCAAGGGGAAACCCACUAUGUACGAUCAAGAUCACGCGACGGAGUCUCUGCGCCUUGGUCAUAUGGAGAGAACACUGGUUCCUGUCCCAGGGUCCGGGAUUGGGAGCUCUUUGUCAUCGGGUUACCAUCACAACAGAUGCUUCCCAUACUGGCUGCGGAGCGGUAAUGGAAGGUCGCUCAGCUCAGGGUCUGUGGGAGAGCCAUCAUCACUCCUGGCACAUCAACUGCCUGGAGAUGAUGGCUGUCUUCAAAGCUUUGAGGCAUUUCCUGGCAGACCUGAGGGAUCAUCAUGUGCUAGUCCGCACAGACAAUAAAUCGGUGGUCUCUUACAUCAACCGUCAGGGGGGUCUGCGAUCGCACCCACUCUGCAAAUUAGCGCACCAGAUCCUCUUGUGGUCCCUGGGGAAAUUAUGCUCUCUGAGGGCAAUGUAUAUACCAGGGACUCAGAAUAUUGGAGCAGACACCCUGUCGAGGCAGGUGCUGAGGCCAGGGGAAUGGAGGCUUCACCCCGAGGUGGUGGAGCUCAAUGAUGAAUUCAAAUUAUAUAUGAUUUUGGGAUUUUUUCCCCCUUAUUUUCUUCUGUGA